GGAAGCGUGCCAGAGUGGUCGAUCGGGCCUGUCUUGAAAACAGGUAGACCCGCAAGGGUCUCAGAGGUUCGAAUCCUCUCGCUUCCGCCA
rnacentral:tRNA from 2 species